AGAAAGCGAUUCAGCUGACUAAUCUUUAGUAGAUAGACAGUGUACAGACACUAAGUCUAUUUAGACUUACACAAGGUGUGUUUUAGGUUUAUAAAAUAAUCAAACAGAAUGUCAAAGACAUCUGUGUUUUUCACUGAGUGCAGUGAAGUCAAGAGAGAAGGUGUGGAUAGGCAGGAGAUGAUCAGUCUUACCUCAGACAUAAUGUAUGACUCUGUUAGCAUCGAAGAGGUGACAACUGACAAAAAACCUGUCGAGACAACAACAAGAGGUUCAGGGAGCGUGAGCUCAGAUAAUCAAGGUGGCAUGAAGGUUUGUCCUACUGACAGUGUGGAGAACAGCCCAACAGAAAAACCUGCAAAAGGGAGGAAGAUCGGUGCUGUCUUUCGGAGAGUAUGGAAGGCUGUAAAGCGCCCUUUCCAUUGCUGUGAUCCAAACAGUGUGGUGUGUCUUACACCACAGCUGAAGCAAGAUGAUUCAGAGCUAAUGCCUGCCCCAAGUCCCUUCAGAAUCACACCAACAGCUGCCACAGAUGCUGCUGACCCUGAGCUGGUGCAUCUGCCAGGCCAGGUCUGUGAAGAAGUUGAGUUGUUGUGUGUGCCAGGUCCCUCCUGGACUGAGCAAACACUGGACACAGAUCUGUCUGAUCCUGAGUCGUCACCUGUGGCAGAUCCAUCCAGUUCUGAUCUGGGUGAUGAAAAACCUAAAAAACAGAGGAAGAGGAAAGCAGUCCAUGCGUUCUUCAGGAGAUUCCGUAAGGCUGUAAAGCACCUCUUCCCCUGCCGUGACUCAAAGAGAGUCGAGCAUUCUACACCACAGGUGGAUCUAGACGAUUCUGAGAUUAAGUUAGCAGAUGGCACCAUUUCUGUUGAGCCUGAGCCAGGGUAUCAGACCAGGUCUGAACAGGUUUGUGCAGCUCUCCAGCCCUCAUCUGUGCAAGAGGUCAACCAAGAUCCAGCCACUCCAGCAUUGUCAUGUGUGUCAGAUUCAUUGGAUUUGGAGAUCAGUCUGGAUUCUGGAUCUAGAGUGUCUUUCUUCGUAGUGGGAGAGCUUCUAGGGCGUGGAAGUUUUGGCUUGGUGUAUGAGGGAUCCCACAUAUUUAGUGACAGAAUUAAGGUUGCAAUGAAGUACAUCCACAAGCACCAAGCUGACCGUUAUCUUGACGUUCCUGGUCAUUCCAAACCUGUGCUUGCAGAAGUGGCAAUGUUGCUUCGGUUGGGACAACCUCCCUUAUGCCCCAACGUUAUCAAAUUGCAUGAUUGGAUUGAGAAUAAGAAGAGCUUUGUGCUCAUAAUGGAGUACCCGGAACCAUGCCAUACCUUGCAUCAACACAUCAUCUAUUCAGAUGAUACGAAUGAAAGAAAAGCACGCUGGAUAAUCUGUCAGUUGAUCCAAGCUGUGAACCAUUGUAUUGACCGUGGAGUCUUCCAUGGUGAUAUCCACUCGGGGAACAUCCUGGUGACUGACCCCAGUUUAAAGCUCAAACUAAUUGACUUUGGUUGUGCUCAUCCAUUGAGCAGUGAGGGCAGUCUUAGCAGUGAAUAUCGAGGAGCACCACUCUGCACCCCACCUGAGGUCAUAAUGAAUACCACAUUCCACGCUAACCCAGCAUAUGUCUGGGCAGUAGGUGUUGUGCUCUUUGAAAUCUUGCAUGGAUAUUUGCCCUUUGAAAGCCAAGACAAAAUACUGCGUGGCUAUGUUCAAGCGAAACUGACUUUAUCCUCAGCAUGCCGUGACCUGAUUUUCCAGUGUUUGAUCCGCAAUCCAUCUAACAGACUGACACUAGAGCAUCUAGAAGAGCACAGGUGGUUUAAUAACUAGACAGUGGACCCCGUGCUUCAACCAGACAAGAAAAGGUAAUCUAACACACAGAGUAGGUCUUAAAUUGUUUCUCAUGUGGAAGGCUCCAAAGCUGUGACCUGAACAGAGUGGUGCGUCUGACACUGCAGCUGGAGAAAGAUGAUUCAGAGCUAAUGCUUGCCCCAAGUCCCUUCAGAAUCCCACCAAUGGCUGACACAGAUGCUGCUGACCGUGAGUGGGUGCGUCUGCCAGGCCAGGUCUGUGAAGAUGUUGAGUUGUUGUGUGUGCCAGGUCUCUCCAGGACUGAGCAAAUGACAAAUGCAGAUCUGGCCGAUCCUAAGUCACCACCUGUGAUCGAUUCAGACCAGUUCUGAUUUGGGUGAUGGUUAGUCAUCAUUACUUUGGUUUAUUAUUUCUGCCAAUCUUUUAUUUUCUAUGCUAUAUUCUCUAUUAUUACUUGCAGUUUUAAUUAUGAUUCACUGCAAGUAACAACGUUAAAAUCCAAAAUUUGUAUAGUAUUACUUAGCAUCACUAAUAAUCUCUUACAGAGAUGUUUCUAAUAGUUCAUUCAUUUUUCUUCAUUUUAGAAAAGGUUAAAAGAGGGAAGAAGAGCAAAGCAAUUCACGCAGUCUACACGAUUCUUAUCCAGUGCCUGUCCAAGUUCUAUCUGAGAUGAAGAUCAGAUGCUGUUCUCGUUGAGUCUGAGGCAGGGUUUCUGAUCAGUUCGACACAUCGAUUCAUCAGAUUCAUCCAAAUAUACUUAACAUGUACAUCUAACAUGUUAUAUGCUUUGUUUAAAAAAUAAAUAAAUACACAAUAAUUUUCAAAUAAUUUACCUUUAUUCUACACCACUCUGUCCCUUCUCCUAUAUAAGCGCUGAUGAUUUCCUAGUUUUUGGCUAAAUGCAUAUUAUUAGUAACUGAUUUUAAAUGUGUCUUUUCUUCCCCCGUCUUUCACUGUUGUUUUUCUGUAAUUCUUGUAUUUUGUUACUCUUUGUGUUUUCCAUGAAGAUGCUGACUUGGCAUUAAAAUAUGUAUUCUGACAUUAAAAUCUGUAAUCUGUACCACCACGACUACUUUAAAUUUAUAUAAAUGCAAUUAGUUGAAUUUAUUUGUUUCAUUUUUACUUUAAUUGUUAAUUUUAAUUAAAGGUCUUGUUCUUUAUUUGUACAUUUACAGUUGCUUCUAUUGUCUUUGAUAUAUGGUUAAAUGGUUUCUUCUGAGUGUACAGACU